CGGAAUUUUAGUUAAAAUGACAGUCUUGAUUUCUCUCUUGAUGGCCUCUCUAGAAAUAGAUCUAGACUAGAUCAAGAUUAUAGUUUUCUAAAACGUAAGAAAAAGAAUAUACAUACAAGGCAAAGGAAAAAAUGAGUGAUUCUGAGUUAUGGAUGGAAAACAACCUCCUGA
rnacentral:sRNA from 1 species